CUUGAGAUUUUGUGAUCGCCGUGGCUUUUAGCCAAGGAGGAAAGUCCGAACACCACAGAAUAGGGUAACUGGUAACGCCAGCCGCCGUUUAUAGCAAUAUAGACAGCAGGGAAAGUGCCACAGAGACAAUACUAUGCCCGCUUGCGGGCAGAAAGGUGAAAAGCCCCUUUUAGAGGGGAGACCCCGAGUAAUCGGGAUCACUAGGCAAACCCUACCCGGUGCAAGGUGGGAUGGUAGUAAGGGAAUUUACCUCAUUCUAAGGUCCCCUUCUACCCACCGCUAGACUCAUUGUGCGAGCAAUAUGAGUUAGAUAGAUGAUCACGCUCUCGAAAGAGAGAACAGAAUUCGGCUUACAAUUUCUUUAGUCAG
rnacentral:RNase_P_RNA from 1 species